UACGUAGGGGGCUAGCGUUGUCCGGAAUCAUUGGGCGUAAAGCGCGUGUAGGCGGUCCGGUAAGUCCGCUGUGAAAGUCCAGGGCUCAACCCUGGAAUGCCGGUGGAAACUGUCGGGCUGGAGUCCGGAAGAGGCGAGUGGAAUUCCUGGUGUAGCGGUGAAAUGCGCAGAUAUCAGGAGGAACACCAAUGGCGAAGGCAGCUCGCUGGGACGGUACUGACGCUGAGACGCGAAAGCGUGGGGAGCAAACAGG
rnacentral:rRNA from 1 species